UUGAGCGGAAUGAUUGGUAACAGUCACGUUCCGUUCUUAGGGGACUGCGGGGUGGCAACACCCCAAUGUUACCCGAC
rfam:Mastigocladus laminosus TT774 scaffold_31, whole genome shotgun sequence.